rnacentral:rRNA from 1 species
UUGGAUGAAGGCCCUCGGGUCGUAAACCGCUGUCAGGAGGGACGAAACUCUGACGGUACCUCCAGAGGAAGCACCGGCUAACUCCGUGCCAGCAGCCGCGGUAAUACGGAGGGUGCGAGCGUUGUCCGGAAUCACUGGGCGUAAAGGGCGCGUAGGCGGCGCAGUAAGUAGGGGGUGAAAUCUCACGGCUCAACCGUGAAACUGCCUCCUAAACUGCUGUGCUUGAGCACGGUAGAGGCAGAUGGAAUUCCCGGUGUAGCGGUGGAAUGCGUAGAUAUCGGGAAGAACACCAGUGGCGAAGGCGGUCUGCUGGGCCGUUGCUGACGCUGAGGCGCGACAGCGUGGGGAGCAAACAGGAUUAGAUACCCUGGUAGUCCACGCCGUAAACGAUGGGUACUAGGCGUCGGGGGGAGCGACCCCUUCGGUGCCGUCGCUAACGCAAUAAGUACCCCGCCUGGGGAGUACGGCCGCAAGGCUGAAACUCAAAGGAAUUGACGGGGGCCCCCACCAGCGGUGGAGCAUGUGGUUUUAUUCCAUGCCACGCCAAGAACCCUUCCCUGGGCUUGACAUGCACGAAAAAACCCGGGGGAAAAACCGGGUCCCCUUCCGGAAUUUGUGCACACGGGCCUGCAUGGGUGGUCGUCCACUCCUGUUGUGAGAAGUUUGGGUAAGUUCCCCAACCAGAGCAACCCUUUGUCU